rnacentral:rRNA from 1 species
CUGGCAUUCAUCGUUUACGGUGUGGACUACCAGGGUAUCUAAUCCUGUUUGCUCCCCACACUUUCGCACCUCAGCGUCAGUAUCGAGCCAGUGAGCCGCCUUCGCCACUGGUGUUCCUCCGAAUAUCUACGAAUUUCACCUCUACACUCGGAAUUCCACUCACCUCUCUCGAACUCAAGACUAGCAGUAUCAAAGGCAGUUCCGGGGUUGAGCCCCGGGAUUUCACCUCUGACUGACUAGUCCGCCUACGUGCGCUUUACGCCCAGUAAUUCCGAGCAACGCUAACCCCCUCCGUAUUACCGCGGCUGCUGGCACGGAGUUAGCCGGGGUUUCUUUACCAGGUACUGUCAUUAUCAUCCCUGGCGAAAGUGCUUUACGACCCUAAGGCCUUCAUCACACACGCGGCAUGGCUGGAUCAGGCUUGCGCCCAUUGUCCAAGAUUCCCCACUGCUGCCUCCCGUAGGAGUCUGGGCCGUGUCUCAGUCCCAGUGUUGCUGAUCAUCCUCUAAAACCAGCUAUAGAUCGUAGACUUGGUAGGCCAUUACCCCACCAACUAUCUAAUCUAACGCGGGCCGAUCCUUUACCGAUAAAUCUUUCCCCCGAAGGGCGUAUACGGUAUUACCCUCAGUUUCCCGAGACUAUUCCGUAGAAAAGGGUACGUUCCCACGCGUUACUAACCCGUCCGCCGCUCAGUCCCGAAGGACCGCGCUCGACUUGCAUGUGUUAGGCCUGCCGCCAGCGUUCGUUCUGAGCCAGGAUCAAACUCU